GGGAACACAGGUGCUGCAUGGCUGUCGUCAGCUCGUGUCGUGAGAUGUUGGGUUAAGUCCCGCAACGGGCGCAACCCUUGUCAUUAGUUGCCAUCAUUUGGUUGGGGCACUCUAAGUGAGACUGCCGGUGACAAACCGGAGGAAGUGGGGAUGACGUCAAGUCCUCAUGGCCCUUAUGGGUAGGGCUUCACACGUCAUACAAUGGUCGGUACAGAGGGUUGCCAACCCGCGAGGGGGGAGCUAAUCCCACAAAGCCGAUCGUAGUCCGGAUCGCAGUCUGCAACUCGACUGCGUGAAGUCGGAAUCGCUAGUAAUCGUGGAUCAGCAUGUCACGGUGAAUACGUUCCCGGGUCUU
rnacentral:rRNA from 1 species